AUGGUGUUAUUUAAUGUGGCCUUCUUUGGAACUGGAAAUUUCGCGAGUAUUGCAAGCUUUGAGAUUUCAUCUGUUUAUCGAUUCAUUACCAUCUUCAAUCCAUUCUUGAUGGCAGCCUUGCUUAUCUUCAAGUUAUUCAUCCCAUUCAUGCUCGUCAUAUGUGUAUUCAGUGCGAUAACAAAGAUUAACAAACUUCCACGUUCGGGUUGUUAUUUCCUUGUCAUAUUAGUCUCGGAUGUGAUGACUUUACACUUCUUCUUCCUGGUUCGAAAUACAGGAAGUUGGAUGGAAAUUGGUAACAGUAUUAGCCAUUUUGGAAUAAU